CUCCCGAGUGCUUGCACUCAAUUGGAAAGAGGAGUGGCGGACGGGUGAGUAACACGUGGGUAACCUACCCAUCAGAGGGGGAUAACACUUGGAAACAGGUGCUAAUACCGCAUAACAGUUUAUGCCGCAUGGCAUAAGAGUGAAAGGCGCUUUCGGGUGUCGCUGAUGGAUGGACCCGCGGUGCAUUAGCUAGUUGGUGAGGUAACGGCUCACCAAGGCCACGAUGCAUAGCCGACCUGAGAGGGUGAUCGGCCACACUGGGACUGAGACACGGCCCAGACUCCUACGGGAGGCAGCAGUAGGGAAUCUUCGGCAAUGGACGAAAGUCUGACCGAGCAACGCCGCGUGAGUGAAGAAGGUUUUCGGAUCGUAAAACUCUGUUGUUAGAGAAGAACAAGGACGUUAGUAACUGAACGUCCCCUGACGGUAUCUAACCAGAAAGCCACGGCUAACUACGUGCCAGCAGCCGCGGUAAUACGUAGGUGGCAAGCGUUGUCCGGAUUUAUUGGGCGUAAAGCGAGCGCAGGCGGUUUCUUAAGUCUGAUGUGAAAGCCCCCGGCUCAACCGGGGAGGGUCAUUGGAAACUGGGAGACUUGAGUGCAGAAGAGGAGAGUGGAAUUCCAUGGGUUAAGC
rnacentral:rRNA from 1 species